GAUGAACGCUGGCGGCGUGCCUAGUACAUGCAAGUCGAGCGAACGGACGAGAAGCUUGCUUCUCUGAUGUUAGCGGCGGACGGGUGAGUAACACGUGGAUAACCUACCUAUAAGACUGGGAUAACUUCGGGAAACCGGAGCUAAUACCGGACGAUAUUUUGAACCGCAUGGUUCAAAAGUGAAAGACGGUCUUGCUGUCACUUAUAGAUGGAUCCGCGCUGCAUUAGCUAGUUGGUAAGGUAACGGCUUACCAAGGCAACGAUGCAUAGCCGACCUGAGAGGGUGAUCGGCCACACUGGAACUGAGACACGGUCCAGACUCCUACGGGAGGCAGCAGUAGGGAAUCUUCCGCAAUGGGCGAAAGCCUGACGGAGCAACGCCGCGUGAGUGAUGAAGGUCUUCGGAUCGUAAAACUCUGUUAUUAGGGAAGAACAUAUGUGUAAGUAACUGUGCACAUCUUGACGGUACCUAAUCAGAAAGCCACGGCUAACUACGUG
rnacentral:rRNA from 1 species